UGUGCGCAUGUGUAAAUACAAGCACGUGAGAAACGGAGAGGUGAGCACGUUGUACCACAAAUUCAGGUCCUGUGACGUUAGUGUACGACAAAGAACGAAAACCUUUCUUAACCCAGAGAUGUCGAUUUAUGGAAAAAGCUGAAGUAGAAAACAGCCCCGGGAAUUUUUAUGACCAGGAGGAGUGAGGCACUGAGCAUCCAUUCAUUUAUUCUACUUCAGGCUUCAAGUUGUUCAGAUGUGGGGCUGCAGCUGUGAAGAGGCUAUAUAAGAAUGGAGCCCAUCUGGAAAGAUGACAGAGAGAAACUAGGUCAUAGUUUCAUCAUGUGACCCAUGUCAAGCAUCACCUCAGGCUACCCUUGGACAUUGCAGGAAACAGAAACUUACUGUCAGCCAAUUUCAAGUCUAAUGGUGACCCAUAUAAUGGGUCCCAAAUAAAUAUCUCCAGCAUCUUCGCUGAAAUCUAAGCACACACUUAUCUGUCUUCUUGACCGUGUCACAUGGAUGUUCAACAGGCAUCUCCAAAUGAAUAAUUAUCCAAAAUUGAACUCUGGAAUUUUCUUCCCAACCCUGCUUUUAUAGUUUUCUCCAUCACCGGAAUUUCUAGCAUCAUGGGCUGGGGCUCCAGUAUGGACCAAACAGCCCAGAAGUUGCCUGCAACCAGUUUGGUUAUGAAAAUGACCUUAAGCUGACCUUACCUGCUGCUUGAGCUGUUUCCACAUCCUAAGAUGCUUAUUGCACAACCAGAAACCUCCUGUUGAAAAUACAGCUGGAAGCCAGCGUAAAUGGAGGGUAACGUGGCAAACAUUCCUCUGGUCCCUCAGCGUGAGGGCACAUCCCGUAAUGAGACCAGCAGUGGCUUGAGGAUGAGAAAUCAGACACCCAGAUCCUGCCACCUUGAAACAGACUCAGUGUCAAGUGUCUGGAGCAAGCUGGCUGGUUCAGGGCAACCACAAUGUCCCUUAUUCCAUGAAUUGCACUCAUCACUCGGGAAGGUCUAGGACAUUAUUUCAAGAUCCCAAUCCUUGGCCCAGAACUCCAACUGCAGUUUUCCAUCGGGAGAACCAGCCAGUGACCUCCCAAAUCUUCCCCUCUCUCUGGACAUCUCUGCCCCAGGGGGAAAUGAUGAGGACACCCUCUUGGCUCCUGGAGUGUUCGAUGGUGACGGCAGGAAAAUCCAGCUUCUGGAAGUGGACCUUGAUGGAGACGGAGACGGUGUAGAAGGAGGAGAUGAGGAGGGCACAUUGCCAGAAAAUGAGGGCCACGGCCGUCAGCGUGAAGAGAACCCAGAGCAGGCGCCGCAGGCGGCCGCGGGACACCACGAUGCGGCGGCAGCCGUGGGUGUUGGUGUUGAGGCAGUACCACCGCAUCAGCUCUUUUAUGGUAGGCGCCUGGGGCCCCGUCACAGGCAGAUUCUUCUUGAUUUUGGCUUUGAUCUUCUCUCCAGGAGCCAUGAUGAGGAUGGGACUUGAGGGCCAGGCAAGCUGGAGGGGCAGAGAAGAAAAGUGGGUGACCUCACACUCCCUAGCCUCCAGGGACAGGGCAGACUCUGGGGAACACCAGCCCACAUGCCCUCAGAGGCCGUCUUCCUUUUUCCCUCUGUGGGCUGGACAGCCUGCAUUCUGAGACCCCGGCCCCCUUUCCAGGAUAUUUGGGUUUUUGGCCACUGCAGCUGCAACAAGGGCUGCUUCCUCCUUGUGCAGCCCCCAGGCCCAGCCGUGUGGGGGCUGGGUGGGGUUUAACCCAUGAAUCACUGGUUUGAAGGACCUUUCCCCUGGGUGCCUGGAGCAGGAGCCCUCCACACCUCAGCCUCUGCACCUCUCUUAUCACGCUCUGCCCUAUCUAGAAUAUGGCCACCUGCACCUUAUCGCUUCCUCCCACCUGGCCCCCUGGAGGGCAGCAUUCCUAUCUCACCUACCCCUGGUGCCUAGCUCAGUAUCUGGCACUGAGCAAGUACCCCACCAACAUUUUCUGACAGAUGCAAUCUGUCAAGAGAAUUUCUCGGCAGCCAACUUGGAUCCUGUUUGGUCCACUCCUAGCCGUGUUUUCCAGGCUUUUCCCCUCCACUUUCCCUGCAAGUGGGGUUUCUGUUUCGUUUCUGUUUAACUUCUUCUCUUUACAGUCAAGCAUUUGGUGUUUCUAGAGAACCUUAUAAACAAUAGCCCACAACUAUUGGCCACUCAAUAUUUGCCAGGUACAAUGCCCUAUUUCCUUGAUUCUAAAGUAUCACUAAUUGGGGGAAUACACUGUGAUGAGAUAACAGCUUUGUUUGGGGGAAAGUGUUGGAAAACAAACUAUCACAUUCAUCAGUGUACAUGAUGCAUUUCACUUACAGAAACUUCACAACAUGGAAUAACAUUCUUUUUAGAAAUGAACUAAUAUAUGUGUAUUGUGUAUUCUAUACAUUAUAUACAUAAAGAAAGAGUCACCUCA